rnacentral:rRNA from 1 species
AGAGUUUGAUCCUGGCUCAGAAUGAACGCUGGCGGCGUGCCUAACACAUGCAAGUCGGAUGUGCCGCAAGGUGCAUGGCAGACGGGUGAGUAACGCGUAGGGAAUCUACCUUUUUGUGGGGAAUAACGCUCCGAAAGGAGUGGUAAUACCGCAUGAGACCGCAGACUGGGAUGUUUGUGGUGAAACCUGGGGACCGCAAGGCCUGGGGCAAGAAGAGGAUCCUGCGUCUGAUUAGCUAGUUGGCGGGGUAAUGGCCCACCAAGGCGACGAUCAGUAGCCGGCCUGAGAGGGUGAUCGGCCACACUGGAACUGAGACACGGUCCAGACUCCUACGGGAGGCAGCAGUGGGGAAUUUUGCGCAAUGGACGAGAGUCUGACGCAGCAACGCCGCGUGGGUGAUGAAGGUCUU